rnacentral:rRNA from 1 species
GAUGAACGCUGGCGGCGUGCCUAAUACAUGCAAGUCGAGCGAACGGAUGAGAAUCUUUCUUCUCUGAUGUUAGCGGCGGACGGGUGAGUAACACGUGGAUAACCUACCUAUAAGACUGGGAUAACUUCGGGAAACCUGAUCUAAUACCGGAUAAUAUUUUGAACCGCAUGGUUCAUCAGUGAAAGACGUUCUUGCUGUCCCUUAUAGAUGGAUCCGCGCUGCAUUAGCUAGUUGGUAAGGUAACGGCUUACCAAGGCAACGAUGCAUAGCCGACCUGAGAGGGUGAUCGGCCACACUGGAACUGAGACACGGUCCAGACUCCUACGGGAGGCAGCAGUAGGGAAUCUUCCGCAAUGGGCGAAAGCCUGACGGAGCAACGCCGCGUGAGUGAUGAAGGUCUUCGGAUCGUAAAACUCUGUUAGUAGGGAAGAACAGAUGUGUAAGUAACUGUGCACAUCUUGACGGUACCUAAUCAGAAAGCCACGGCUAACUACGUG